rnacentral:rRNA from 1 species
CAGCAGCCGCGGGAACACGAAGGGUGCAAGCGUUAAUCGGAAUUACUGGGCGUAAGGCGUGCGUAGGCGGUGAGUUAAGUCUGCUGUGAAAUCCCCGGGCUCAACCUGGGAACUGCAUUUGUGACUGGCAAGCUAGAGUGUGGCAGAGGGGGGUGGAAUUCCGCGUGUAGCAGUGAAAUGCGUAGAUAUGCGGAGGAACACCGAUGGCGAAGGCAGCCCCCUGGGCCAACACUGACGCUCAUGCACGAAAGCGUGGGGAGCAAACAGGAUUAGAUACCCGUGUAGUCCCUGUCUCUUAUAC